rnacentral:rRNA from 1 species
GACGAACGCUGGCGGCGUGCUUAACACAUGCAAGUCGAACGGAGCUAUUUAUUUCGGUAGAUAGCUUAGUGGCAAACGGGUGAGUAACGCGUAGGCAACCUGCCCUCAGGAUGGGGACAACGGCUCGAAAGAGCCGCUAAUGCCGAAUGACGUAACUCUUCCACAUGGAAGAGAUACUAAAGAUGGGUCAAACCAUCGCCUAAGGAUGGGCCUGCGUCUGAUUAGCCAGUUGGUGAGGUAACGGCUCACCAAAGCGACGAUCAGUAGCCGGUCUGAGAGGAUGAACGGCCACAAUGGGACUGAGACACGGCCCAUACUCCUACGGGAGGCAGCAGUGGGGAAUCUUCCGCAAUGGGCGAAAGCCUGACGGAGCAACGCCGCGUGAGUGAAGAAGGUCUUCGGAUCGUAAAGCUCUGUUGUCGGGGACGAAAGAGUAGACGAGGAAAUGCGUCUACUAAGACGGUA